rnacentral:rRNA from 1 species
ACGGCUCAGUAACACGUGGACAACCUACCCAAAGGUCUGGGAUAACUCCGGGAAACUGGGGAUAAUACCGGAUAGGUCAAGAGUACUGGAAGGGUUUUUUGAUUGAAAGCUCUGGCGCCUUUGGAUGGGUCUGCGGCUGAUUAGGUUGACGCCGGUGUAAAGUACCGGCGUGCCGAUUAUCAGUACGGGUUGUGGGAGCAAGAGCCCGGAGAUGGAUUCUGAGACACGAAUCCAGGCCCUACGGGGCGCAGCAGGCGCGAAAACUCUACAAUGCAGGCAACUGCGAUAGGGGAACAUCGAGUGGCAUCUACAUUAGGUGUCUGUCCAGCUGUCUAAAAAACGGCUGUUAGCAAGGGCCGGGCAAGACCGGUGCCAGCCGCCGCGGUAAUACCGGCGGCUCGAGUGGUGGCCGAUAUUAUUGAGUCUAAAGGGUCCGUAGCCGGCUUUGCAAGUCUUGUGGGAAAUCCAGCGGCUUAACCGUUGGGCGUCUGCGGGAUACUACAUUGCUUGGGACUGGGAGAGGUAGGAGGUACUCAGGGGGUAGGAGUGAAAUCCUGUGAUCCUCUGGGGACCACCGGUGGCGAAGGCGUCCUACCAGAACAGGUCCGACGGUGAGGGACGAAAGCUAGGGGCACGAACCGGAUUAGAUACCCGGGUAGUCCUAGCCGUAAACGAUGCCCGCUAGGUGUCACGGCAGUCGUGAACUGCCGUGGUGCCGUAGGGAAGCCGUGAAGCGGGCCACUUGGGAAGUACGACCGCAAGGUUGAAACUUAAAGGAAUUGGCGGGGGAGCAC